rnacentral:tRNA from 1 species
GGGCAGCUAGCUCAAAGGCAGAGCAUCUCUUUGACGUAGAGAAGGUUAGAGGUUCGAGUCCUCUGCUGCCCA